GACGAACGCUGGCGGCGUGCCUAAUACAUGCAAGUCGAGCGCACGAGCUUGGUACUUGUUCCGACGGUGUGAGCAGCGGACGGGUGAGUAACACGUGGAUAAUCUGCCUUUGAGCGUGGGACAACUUUUGGAAACGAAUGCUAAUACCGCAUAAAAACUUUAAACACAAGUUUUAAGAGUGAAAGAUGCAAUUGCAUCACCCAAUGAUUAUCCCCCGUUUUAUUAGCUUAGUGGUGAGGUAAAGGCUCAACAAGGCGAUGAUAGAUAACCGGCCCGGGAGGGUGAUCGGCCACAUUGGGAACGGGACCAGGCUCCAACUUCCACGGGAGGGAGCAGUAGGGGAUCUUCGGCAAUGGACGAAAGUCUGACCGAGCCAAGCCGGGUGAGUGAAGAAGGUUUUCCGAUUGUAAAAAUCUGUUGGUAGGGAAGAACGAUAGUGAGAGUGGAAUGCUCACAAAGUGACGGUACCUAACCAGAAAGCGACGGCUAACUACGUG
rnacentral:rRNA from 1 species